AUCGAACGCUGCGGCAGGCCUAACACAUGCAAGUCGAGCGAGCGGGGGACGGGUGAGUAAUGCUUAGGAAUCUGCCUAUUAGUGGGGGACAACAUCUCGAAAGGGAUGCUAAUACCGCAUACUAAUAGAUGAGCUUAAGUCGGAUUAGCUAGUUGGUGGGGUAAGGGCCUACCAAGGCGACGAUUUGUAGCGGGUCUGAGAGGGUGAUCCGCCACACUGGGACUGAGACACGGCCCAGACUCCUACGGGAGGCAGCAGUGGGGAAUAUUGGGCAAUGGGGGGAACCCUGAUCCAGCCAUGCCGCGUGUGUGAAGAAGGCCUUAGGGUUGUAAAGCACUUUAAGCGAGGAGGCGUUACUCGCAGAAUAAGCACCGGCUAACUCCGUGCCAGCAGCCGCGGUAAUAC
rnacentral:rRNA from 1 species